UGCCCAAUAUUUGGUUCCAUUGAGUUGACCAACCAUGCCACAACGAUAGAAUUUUCAACAUCUCAAUUUGGAAUGUAAGAUCAUUUUCAUCUAGCCUCUGCUUUUGUCCAAGAAGAUAGUCAAGUUUUCCAUGCCCUUGAAUUACCACUUGAACACAAUGAGACCACUGGAGAAAGUUCUUUCCAUUGAGUUUGUGGGAUGUGAUUUGAAUUGAUGUACUUUCAGUUAUUGUCAUGCACCGCCUGCACACAAAAAAAAAAAAAAAAAAAGCUAGAAUGGGUCAUUAAUUUUGCGCCACCAAGCUGCGUGCUUCAUCAUUUCAGCUGUCUGCUUCACCAUUUCUCCACAUGCCGGCUUCCCUUCUUGUUUGCCACAUGCACAUUCCACUUGCUUGC
rnacentral:lncRNA from 1 species